rnacentral:lncRNA from 1 species
GAUUUAGGGUUUAGGGUUUAGGGUUUAGAGUUUAGGGUUUAGGGUUCAGAUUUUAGGGUUUAUGGUUUAGAGUUUUGGGUUUAUGGUUUAGAGUUGAGAAAUGAGGUUUUGGGGAUAAGAUUUCAAAUUUUGAAAAAUAAAAAAAAUUAAAAUUUUCAAAGGAUAAACUUAAAAAUGUGCUAUUUUGGUCAUUUUAAUUUUUGAGUGCUAUUUUUGUGAUAUAAACUUAGAAAGAUGUUAUUUUGGAGAUUUGCCCUUCCUAUUAUUGAUAAAUUAAUUUAUACCAACUCUAUUUUGACUAAUGUAGUAUUUACAUUUUUUAUAUUGUAUAUUACUUUUAAUGUAGUAUUUUCAUUUUUUAAUAUGUGUACUUAAUUAUUAUUACAUUUUAUAUAUUAUAUAUUUACAUAUUUAAAUGCAUAUUUACAUGUAUUUAAUUUUUACAUUUUAAGGUAGAUGUCUAAUGUAGUAUUUAUAUUUUUUCAUUUUUUAUUUACAUUUUAAGAUAGAUGUUUAAUGCUUAACGUACUUUUUCCAUUUUUUAUAUAAUGUAUUUACUUAUAAUAUUAUUUUUCGUAUAUUAUAUAUUUACUUAAUAUCUAUAUUUUACA